UGCGAUGAUGAAUAAGUAUAAUCUCGUUAAUCUGAUGAAUUCAUGAGGACGAAUUAUCUUUUCCAUUCUUAAGCUCUGAGC